rnacentral:rRNA from 1 species
CUCCUACCGGAGGCAGCAGUUAGGAAUCUUGCGCAAUGGGCGAAAGCCUGACGCAGCCAUGCCGCGUGAAUGAUGAAGGUCUUAGGAUUGUAAAAUUCUUUCAGCGGGGACGAUAAUGACGGUACCCGCAGAAGAAGCUCCGGCUAACUUCGUGCCAGCCGCCGCGGUAAUUC